rnacentral:rRNA from 1 species
GACGAACCGUACGAACGUUAUUCGGAAUCACUGGGCUUAAAGGGUGCGUAGGCUGCGCAGCAAGUUGGGUGUGAAAUCCCACGGCUCAACCGUGGAACUGCUGGGUAUACUGGUUGUCUUGAGCCAGCUAGGGGCGAGCGGAACAGACGGUGGAGCGGUGAAAUGCGUAGAUAUCGUCUGGAACGCCGAAGGUGAAAACAGCUCGCUGGGGCUGCGCUGACGCUGAGACACGAAAGCCAGGGGAGCGAACGGG